rnacentral:rRNA from 1 species
UGCCAGACUCCUACGGGAGGCAGCAGUGGGGAAUAUUGGGCAAUGGGCGCAAGCCUGACCCAGCAACGCCGCGUGAAGGAAGAAGGCUUUCGGGUUGUAAACUUCUUUUAAGAGGGAAGAGUAGAAGACGGUACCUCUUGAAUAAGCCACGGCUAACUACGUGCCAGCAGCCGCGGUAAUACGUAUGGAGCAAGCGUUAUCCGGAUUUACUGGGUGUAAAGGGAGCGUAGGCGGCCUGCCAAGUCUGAUGUGAAAUACCGGGGCUCAACCCCGGGGCUGCAUUGGAAACUGGCAGGCUGGAGUGUCGGAGAGGCAGGCGGAAUUCCUGGUGUAGCGGUGAAAUGCGUAGAUAUCAGGAGGAACACCGGUGGCGAAGGCGGCCUGCUGGACUGCAACUGACGUUGAGGCCCGAAAGCGUGGGGAGCAAACAGGAUUAGAUACCCCUGUA